rnacentral:rRNA from 1 species
UAUUAUUUUAAUUGUAAAAAUGGAGACUUGGGUAGUAUUAGGUAAGCACUUGAAACUCAAAGAAUUUGGCGGUGUUUUAGUCUUUUCAGAGGAAUCUGUCCUGUAAUUGAUAAUACACGUUAAAUGAUACUUGGUUUGGUAUAAUCAGCAUGUAUACCGCCGUCGUAAGAUUAUCUUUUUAGAGCAAAAAUUUUCUUUAAAUUUUAAAAUCAUAUGUCAGGUCAAGGUGCAGUUUAUAACCAAGAAGGAGAUGGGUUACAAUAAAAUAAUUUAUAUGGAUUUUUUAAUGAAAUUUGAGGAUGAAGGUGGAUUUGAAGGUAAUAUUAUUAUAUUAUGUUAAGAUGAUAUAAGCUCUGGAGCAUGCACAUAUCGCCCGUCGCUCUCGUUAUUAAGAUGAG